AACGAACGCUGGCGGCAGGCUUAACACAUGCAAGUCGAACGGGUGUAGCAAUACAUCAGUGGCAGACGGGUGAGUAACACGUGGGAACCUUCCUAGGGGUACGGAACAACUCAGGGAAACUUGAGCUAAUACCGUAUACGUCCGUGAGGAGAAAGAUUUAUCGCCCUUAGACGGGCCCGCGUCGGAUUAGCUGGUUGGUGGGGUAACGGCCUACCAAGGCGACGAUCCGUAGCUGAUCUUAGAGGAUGAUCAGCCACACUGGGACUGAGACACGGCCCAGACUCCUACGGGAGGCAGCAGUGGGGAAUCUUGGACAAUGGGCGCAAGCCUGAUCCAGCCAUGCCGCGUGAGUGAAGAAGGUCUUCGGAUUGUAAAGCUCUUUUGCCAGGGACGAUAAUGACAGUACCUGGAGAAUAAGCCCCGGCAAACUUCGUGCCAGCCGCCGCCGUAA
rnacentral:rRNA from 1 species